rnacentral:rRNA from 1 species
CCUACGGGUGGCUGCAGUGGGGAAUAUUGGACAAUGGGGGCAACCCUGAUCCAGCCAUGCCGCGUGUGUGAAGAAGGCCCUCGGGUUGUAAAGCACUUUCAGUGAGGAAGAACGCCUGGUGGUUAAUACCCAUCAGGAAAGACAUCACUCACAGAAGAAGCACCGGGUAACUCCGUGCCAGCAGCCGCGGUAAUACGGAGGGUGCGAGCGUUAAUCGGAAUUACUGGGCGUAAAGCGCGCGUAGGUGGCUUGAUAAGCCGGUUGUGAAAGCCCCGGGCUCAACCUGGGAACGGCAUCCGGAACUGUCAAGCUAGAGUGCAGGAGAGGAAGGUAGAAUUCCCGGUGUAGCGGUGAAAUGCGUAGAGAUCGGGAGGAAUACCAGUGGCGAAGGCGGCCUUCUGGACUGACACUGACACUGAGGUGCGAAAGCGUGGGUAGCAAACAGGAUUAGAUACCCGUGUAGUC